ACCUUAAAUCGUCGAUGAACGGUGAUGCUUAUCAUUCUGCGGCCUUCGCGUUAGAGAAAGUCGCCACUCGCCAGCAACUGCGACCGCAUCGGCAUUUCCGGCGCUCGGCUUCCUCGGUCUGAAGAUGGCAAUGGUGGUGUCGAAUCCCUCUAAUACAACCGAGGAGAUUGCUACUGCCGCGGCAGCGUCAUCGGGUGCAGGUGUUUUAGGACACCAUAUGCAUAAAAAUCGUUUGCAGGAAUAUACACAAAGAGCAGGAUUAUCACUUCCAUCUUAUUCAACUGUGAACGAAGGAGAACCACAUGCACCAAGGUUCCGAGCUGCAAUAUUGGUAGAUGGGAUGAGAUUUACUUCUCCUUACACAUUUUCUCACCGAAAAGAAGCAGAACAAGAUGUUGCAAAACGUACUCUUGAGAUUAUAUCAGUAAAAUUUAAGAAUGAGGCUUCCCUUAAUAUUCACAAGGACCCAGCAUUUUGCAAAUUGAUCCUCAAUGAGUAUGGAGCUAAGCUGAAGAAAGACAGACCAACAUAUUCCACCGUUCAACAAGAUGGACUUCUUCCAAUAUUUAUUACAACUAUUACUUUCGAUGGGAAAACUUAUGUUGGAUUAGCUGGAAGGAGCAAAAAAGAGGCAGAACAAAAUGCAGCAUGUGUUGUUAUUGAUUCUAUUUUAGCAAAUUCAAACACAGUUGCUGCAAUGACUCAAAUUAUAAAGACAAAAGGUAAACUUUAUGAGACGGUGAACAAUAUUGCCAAUGCUGGGAAUGCAACCUUGACGAGUGAAAUCAAGAGUGAUGAUGCUGAUGGUGUUAUUGAAGGAACAGGGAUAACGGCUGUUGCACCAAUUGGAAGUUUACCUACCGGACCGACAAGUUGGAUUCCUUUCACUUCUCAAUUGGUGGAUCCUUUCACUUCUCAAUUGGUGGAUAUUUCCCAGAGCAAUCAAAUGAAUUAUCAUAUUUCAUCUUCGGGUUUGCCAAUGACGGUAGUUGAUGCACAAGCUAUUGCUCCAAAGAAAAAGAAAAAGAAUUCGAAGAAGAGGAAAGCUGAUCAAUCUAAAAGAAAAAGAGUUGAUGAACCGUUGCAGGAUGUUUAGGCUCGCCAUGUUUGGCAACUUUUGGCUGACUGUUCAAAAGUGUGGAAGAAAAUAGUAACUGUCCAACAUGGUGGAAGUUCAUCAGUGAUCUCUCAGUUCUUGUUCCUGGAAGCUGAAUCGUGCUGCUUGAGUUUUUUUUUAUGAUAAGUGGAUUUUGGUUGAUCUUUGUAUGUGGUGGCUAUAUCAGUUGUCUUCAGAUGGUAGGGUUCAAGUAUCUUUCGAGUACAAUGAUUUCUCUAGGCCAUUGAACGAUGCAUUCUCAUAGAGGUAGAGAGAAUAUUUGAAGAUGCCCUUAUGGAAGAUAUCAAGGUUGAUGUGUUAUGGAUCUUUGUAUCUGCAGGUAGUUGGUUCUCCAGAUGUUAUAACACAUUUUAAUCUAUUUGCUUUUGUUUCUUUCUAUGCCCCUAAAUUUAACUAAUCUAGAGGAGAAUUUCAGGUUGAUUGGCCUAACUUGUUUUCUAUUAUCCCUGGGAUUUGGUCUUUUCACUGAUCUUUAAUGCAAUAGCCAAGAAUAUUGUUAUCUUGAACUAUUUCAUGCAAAUCUUAUUUCUAAGCAACAUCUAUGAUAUACUACUGCAAUGAAAUUUUGUAAAUUGUGUUUCCAGCUA